CCACAACCGGGCAUGUGCCCUGACUGGCAAUCAAACUGCGACCUCCUGAUUUAUGGGUUGAUGUUCAACCACUGAGCCACACCAGCUGGGAAAAACUUGUUGUUUUAAGAUGCUAAGUUUUGGGGUAAUUUGUUACUCAGCAAUGGUUAACUACUUACUGUAGUGCUGCAUUAUCACAUUAAAUCCUCAGAACAAAUGUGAAAGGUGGAAUUUUUUCCCUACUUUUCAGAUGAGAAAGCCAAAGCUGAGAUGAGUGUAGUGACUUCCCACACCUGGGAAGUGGCUGAGCUUGGAUUUUCCCAUGUCUAUUGGGUUCCAGAUCCCAGGGAACCUGGUUCUGUUUUCUCAGCUGGAAUGGCUCCAGCUCCAGGGCGAAGUUUGAGGAACCGAGGACAGGAGGACGUGGUCUCUUUGUCUGAGGUGUUUCUCUCCCUCUUUUCAUUUCAAUCACGUUGGUUUGCAGCUAUGGCAUCUUUGUGUAUAUGUGAGUCAGUGACAAGUAGGUUUAUUCGAAAAAACAUCAGAGUUUUAGGAGGGGGAUAUUUGGGCUCUUGAGUGACCUUGGAUAAGUUCUUACGCUCUUGUAGGUCUCAGUUUCUUUAUCUCCCGUAUGGAGAUAAUAACUCUGUUCCACAUUCCUCACCAGGGAACCAUGAGCAUCCAGUACAAAGGGACUUUGUAAAAUGUCAAGUAUUGUGAUCCCAGAAAGGUUUGCUUUGAGUAAGGAGCACCCUCACCCAAGGCACUCACAGUCCCCAUGGAGGUAGCCCCACACAAUCUGCAAGGGUGGCCAGUGCUCCCUCUUCUCUCCCACCUGAGUCUCAGGAGACAGAGUACUGAGAGAACUUGAGAGCCCCAACCCACUCCUUCAACCUCCUCCCUCACUAUCACCUCCCUCUUAAGCAACCUUGCAGCCACUGAAGUAGUGGAAAUUUCCCAAGCCUGACAGGAGCCUUUCUGUAUGCUGAGCCUCUGUCUGUGCAGUUUCUUCUCCCUGGACACCAUGCCCAACUUCUCCACCUGGUGCGUCACUACUCAUCUUUCAUGACUCAGAUGUCCCCACUUUCAGGAUACCUCUUGACCUGGUUCAAAGCCUACUUCUCCUCUGCAUUAGUGCACCAGCCUCCUGCCUGAGCACUUGGACUCCAGCUUCUCUUUUCUACUCAAAGCCCCCUGUGGCACAGCCAGCGGUCUUUCUAAAACACACAUCUUGUCACGUCACUCCCUGCUUAAAAUAACCGCCCAACGGAAUAAUCCAUCAAUCAAUGUUUCAAGAGCUCCUCCUUGCUCUCAGGAAAACAUCCAAAGCCUCCAGCUGGAACUCAAGGCUUGCUCCCCACUGGUGUCUCCAGCCUCAGCUCUCCUCUCUCCUGGUCGCCCUGCACAGGUGGUACAUCCUAGCCACAUUGAUCUCGUUUCAUAACUCAGACACACCUCACUCUCUCGUGUCUUCCGAUCUGCUGGUCCCAUUGUUUUCCAUGCCCAUUCCCAUCUUAGCCACCUAGUCACUUCCUGCCUAACGUUGAAGGCCAGCUCUGAUUUAACCUCUCCUGGGAAGCCUGCCUGGGUGGUCCCAGGAAGAGUCCAUGGCUUCUUCUUCCCUCUCCUAUAUGACUUCUCAAGCUUUUGUUACUGUUUGUCAGCUUGCCUGCUUACACUGGAAGUUUCUUGUAUCUGACACAGGGUUGUGUCCCCAGCAGGGUCAGCACAGGUGCUUGGAGCAGCCAUGUAGGAUUUGUUGGUUGGUUGAAUGAAUGAAUGAAUGAAUGGUGAAUGGAUCCAUCCUUGAACCCUCACUUCUUGGCCAGCCUCAGAACUGUUAUUUUCCAGGGCAAGCCCAUUUUAUAGCAAAAGAGGAAGCAGAAAGGACUGCUCUGGAAUGGAGAAAGCAAAUCAAAAAAAUGUAAAUCUGGUUGAGAAAAGCUGUCCCAGGUUGGCUGUGGGGAGAGAUAAGACUGGGAUGGUGAGCCCUGGUUGACAGUAAAAGAAAUUAGGGGACAAGCAGAGCUUCAGCCAGGCCAGGGCAAAGGGAGUGUCUCCCUUCAGUGGUACCGCCUCCCUCUGUCUUUGCCACUUUCCCUGCCCCCAUGCUCUCUGCACUCCAUCAAUUCUCUCAGGGAUCCUGGACGGAGAAGGAAACUUAGAAAUGUUGAUCAGCAAAUGCACUCAUUAUUUGGUCUUCACAACUUUUGGGAAACAGGAGAUAGGAAUGCUCAACCUCACUUUCCAGGUGAAGAAACAGAGGUGUAGAGAAGUUAAAUUGCUUGUUCAGGGUCACACCAUGAAUAAGUGGCAGAGUCAAGAUUUGAGUUUAAAUCUGACUCUAAAACGCUAUUCUUUUCCCUCCAUUGCACUGAGGUCUUGAUCCAGGCUUCAAAGGGUCCCCAGCCUCUGAAAUCAGAUGCACAAUUGUGUUUAUGUGCAUUUUUUUAAUGGAGAGUUUAUAUCUUGUAUCGUCCAAGAUGAUUGUCACUCAUUCCCUUGCCUAUACCAUCUUCCCUCCCUGGAGGAGGCCUUUGAGCUGAGUACAGAAGAAUGGGAUAGAGUAGAGUGGGAUGAAGAAGGCCAGCUGGGUAGAGAAGAACACAUGUAGGGGUAGAUUCGGAAGAAAGAAUUCAAUAGGUCUAAAGAAUGCUGAGGGUGCUAUGGGUUCUUACUCCUCAUUUAUGUGUGCUCCAAUCAUGGCUCCUGGCUCCCAACUUCUAAAGAGCAUCUGACCACCUUGCAGCUUCCCAGCAUCGGUCCGCAGGCCAAAGGAACUCCAGGCCAGGCAUCAGGAUAUCCGCUCUGCUUCAGUCCUGUCCUCUGUUGGACUUUAUCACCUGUAGAAUCUUGCAAGAUUUCACACCUUCUCCUGAGCACACAGGUCAAUUGCUGGUGGUUCCUCAUGGACCAGCGGCUAAUAUUAGGGAAGAGGGCUGCACCCUGGGCCCCUCCAUCUCUGGGAACCCCUUCAGCCUUUACCUGCUCCACUCCUGGCUCUCAGCCCACGUCUCUCUUGCGAUGACUCCUGAAGUCUCCUGGCCCUGACCAGCCUGAGAGGUUUUAAGCACAAGGACCUCAUCUUCUUCAAAUCUCUGCUGAAUGUAGAUUCGGCAUCAAGACCCAGCUUGAUGGGGCCCCUGCAUGUGUUCACAUUGUCAUGUUCUUGGGAAGUUUGCAAAGUCAUCGCUGCAUUUAGGUAAAUCAUUGCCAGCCACCUCUCUGUACAGAAUGGCUUCUAGGAAUCUUCCUACACACUGUCCAACUCAGAAUUGUGACAUCAAGAUGUCAUAUCCAGAGGGCAUCUCAUGACAGGAAUGUAUUCCAGGCCACCUGGCCCUGGAAGCAUAUGGGCAAUGGAGGAGAAACAGGUUGGAAAUGUACAGAAACAGAAGCUAAUCUGUGGGAAAUCCUUCCACUUGUCAGGGGAGGAAAUGUAUUUCAGAGGUGUGCACGGCAGUUAGUAAAAAAUACUGUGCUGUUUUUCUGAAUUGUGUGACAUAGUUGUUUUGACUUCUUUUCUAAGUAGAUACUCAUUUUCU